CGUGACAUGGGGGCGUGGCAGCAUCGACGAUUCCAUUUUUUGAUUCGAUAAUCGAGAUUGAGCAUGAAUUUCGAUCGAUUUUGAUUUAAAAUCGAAAACGUGACACCCUUAAUAUGUUGAUAUAUAAGCACUACAAAACAUAAGGAGUAGAGCAUUACAUUAAUUUAUUUAACAGACUUUUAUCCAAGUUGACGUACAGGUGAGCAUGAGAGAGCAGGUCAGCCAGCAUCUGUGGACCAGUUGGGGUUAAGGGUCUUGCUGAAGGGCCGACAGUGAUAUGAUCAUUCUGCCAGUCAUAGAAUCCAGCUUCUGCUAGUCAGGACUUCCGGCACAAGAAGAUGGCAACGAUUCGUAACCAGCCCUGGAAAUAAAGAACUAUGGGGACCUGCCAGGCUGCUGCCUCAGACCCCCACUCUUCACACUGCUGCCUCAGACCCCCACUCUUCACACUGCUGCCUCAGACCCCCAAUCUUCACACUGCUGACAUCAGACUGCUCUGCCAGGACCACCUCUAACCACAUCAUAAAGUAUGCAGACCACACCACCAUGAUGGGCCUCAUAAGCGAUGGAGACCAGUCUGCACACACACAGGGGGCAAGCGAGCUGCUGGAGUGGUGCAAGGCCCAUAAUCUGCUGCUCAGCAUCAAUAAGAAGAAAGAAAUUAUCGUGGACUUCUGACAAACCUGGGGGGAGCAUAAAGGCCAAUUCAUACAAAAUUUUCCCACCUGUGUUUUUGGUAGUGUUGUAGUCAAGACCACCUAAACCGAGACCAAGACAUUGCCGAGACCGGAGGGUAU